CUAACUGACACUUAUUCUCAUCAGGGAGCCAGCAACAAGAGAGGGCACUGAGCCGCCUCCUGGCAGGGAUUAUCCCCUCGGAUCAAAGGGAAAGCUGAGGAGCAGCCGACCGCCUAUUCUGCCUGAGCAAUGAGCUUGACAGCCUUCUUUGCAACCCGGCUCACAUGACCAGCUGCCCUGCGGUCCUUUCUGCAAAUGCCAGGAGAGUAAAUACAGCAUAAGAGUCCCUUGACUUAUGGAUUUAGUUUUAAGUGAUUAUUUGCAUUUGUGGUACAAGAGGCUACACCUGGAAACACACACACCUGACAGAAAUGGCCUGCACAAAGUACAAUACAAGAAAUGAGGCUUUGGAACCUGGCAGAAUUCAUGGAAGAAAGAAACAUGGCUGCUGCCCAGAACCCCAGAAUCAGGUUCAGUCCACUCACAACAGCUCCGCUAUCUAACUCCAACAUGCCGCCUCUUUAAAACACACAGCCAAUCCCACACGGAUGCUGCUUCCAGAGGCUUUCGCUGUGGUGCUGCAUCAGCAUUGUGCCAAAGUGGGAGCAGACAUAUUUUAAAGUGACUCAGCCUUCCAAAGAGCGUCGUUGAUUUGAGGCACAAACCUAACAGGAGGCACUGUGCAACCCAAUCUCUCCUCGUCAAUUGGACAGCAUCAGUCCUCCCAAACCCCAAA